rnacentral:rRNA from 1 species
AGAACGAACGCUGGCGGCAUGCCUAACACAUGCAAGUCGAACGAGACCUUCGGGUCUAGUGGCGCACGGGUGCGUAACGCGUGGGAAUCUGCCCUUAGGUUCGGAAUAACUCAGAGAAAUUUGAGCUAAUACCGGAUGAUGACGUAAGUCCAAAGAUUUAUCGCCUAGGGAUGAGCCCGCGUAAGAUUAGGUAGUUGGUGGGGUAAAGGCCUACCAAGCCGACGAUCUUUAGCUGGUCUGAGAGGAUGAUCAGCCACACUGGGACUGAGACACGGCCCAGACUCCUACGGGAGGGCAGCAGUGGGGAAUAUUGGACAAUGGGCGAAAGCCUGAUCCAGCAAUGCCGCGUGAGUGAUGAAGGCCUUAGGGUUGUAAAGCUCUUUUACCCGGGAUGAUAAUGACAGUACCGGGAGAAUAAGCCCCGGCUAACUCCGUGCCAGCAGCCGC